AUUUAACAGGUCCAGAGACAUGAAGAGAGGUCGAAUUUCUGCCGCAGUUCUGCUUCUAGUUGCAUAUCUGUUGGUGCAAUAUGCUGAAUGCAAAAACAAUGGGACAUUUUUUGGUCGAUGGAAUAGAUGUUGAAAAACUGAGCGACGAUGAGGUUCGUGAUUUGCUCGAUGCUGAGGAUGUAAAGUUUACGGGACAGCUGGAUAUAUGGAUUGGCAAGCAGUCUCUCAAAGAGAGACAUAGAAUUAAGAGAGUUGCUCCAAUUGUUGCAAGAGUUGCAUGGAUGGCCGGGAGAGCAUUAUAUAGAUCACUUUCACACAAAGUUCCCCACAUUACCAGGAGCGGUGGAAGAAUGACCAAACAAUACUUCAAAAAUGGAGGAUACUGGUCAGCAAGACGGGAUUUUAACAGAUUCAAACCAACAGGUGUUACACAAUUUAGAGCAACAAAUGGCCAAAAAGGAUAUACGGGGAAAAUAUUAGACGGAAAGUAUCAAUUAACAGUAAGGAAAAAGAGUUCUUUCGGACGCCCUACAUUAGAAAUUCGAUCAAACACUGGCGGAAAAGUGGUCAGAAAAGUUCGGUAUGAAUGAUGAAGACUUGUCUAUGCACGUGAAGACAAGCGACCAUUUAAAACAUCCAUAAUCGUUUGAAUAAAGAUCUUAGAUCUUGAUUAUAUAGAACUGUAUUAUGUAUAAUCAUAAUGUUUUUGAUUUGAUAAAGAGAUUGAAGCAAAC
rnacentral:misc_RNA from 1 species